UUGAGGGAAAAAAAGGAAUGAGGCUUAUUUUUUUCUCUGCUAGGGCUCCAGCACUGAUCCUGGGUCCGGUCAUCGCCUUGCCGUGGCACCACCACACCGGUCACCGUACACGGUGGCCAAAAAUCGCCCGUAGGUAAUUUUUUCUCUUUUUUUUGUAUUUAAUAUAUAUAUUUAGAUUGAUAGAUUCAAAAAAAAAAAUAAAAGUAAAGUAGUAAAAGAAAAUAAGAUCACCUCAAGUUUUUGGAUUUUUGACUUUUGAUUCUCUGGUUCGUGUUAUACUCGUGUUCUUAUUUUUUUUGAAUCACUGCUUGCAUAUGUGUUUUAAAUCUAUUCUUUGUAUUGAUGGCAAAAUAGCCGAAAGUAUUCCCCUUUUACAAAUGAUCUCUGUUUUGGCUUUUUAAAGCCCUCCUAUUGUGUGUUUGCUUGAUCUUGUAGGUGGAGCAGGUGGUGGUGGCAGACGGCAUGGGGUACAGAGGGCAGUUGGCCGACAGUCAGAGGCAAGUGGGGCGUCGGCUGAACUUAAGGGCUAGGAUUUUUUCUUUUUUAUUUUGUUUGGGCUAGGGUUAGGUUGUAAUAGGUUGUUGGUUGAUGGGUUUGGGUUGUGGGUUAAGCUGGGGUUUGGGCUUCUGUUGGGUUAAAUUUUAGGUGGGUCAAAAGUGGGUAGUGGUUAUUUAGUUUGGUUGGGUAUUGGGUUUAGUGUAAAUGAGUCAUGGGGCAAAAUUGGGCUAUAACAGCAUCGAUAUUAUUAUCUAUACAAAGGGGACAUCAAUAUAUAUAUAUACACAUAUAUAUAUAUACACCUCAGCUUGUUGCUCAUCAUAAGGGUGUUCUUGAGAAUGAUUUUCUUCCAUUCCUUUGUUGUAUCUUGAAAGAGUAUGUUCCAUGCUACAUUCAUAAAAUGUCAUGUUUAAAAAAAUAACAAUAAAUUAAAAAUAAAAUUCUAACUCAUUAUUAGGGUUUAGGUUUUUUUACCUAUAUUGUUUGGACUUUUGCCGAUCAAAUUUAUGACAAGUUAUUCUUAG
rnacentral:lncRNA from 1 species